GGGUAUGUAGUUCAGUCCGGAAGAACGGCUGAACCGUUGCAGUCCGCGCGGCACGUCGCUUCGCACUUGGGGGAGCAUUCGUACAGCGUCGGUCAGCAGGCCCGAGGUUCGAAUCCUCGCAUACCCA
rnacentral:tRNA from 1 species